GUUUAACAGCUUCGGUGCCGGCAGCCUUGCCAUUGAUUCCUCUGAACAACCGUGCUUACAAAUUAAAUGCUUUCGUUUUUAUUUCUGUUUUUAUAUCAGUGUUUUGUUUGUAAAGUAUUUAACUUAUAUAAAAUAAAACAAAUUAUAACUAAGAAGCUCGCCUGCCAAAACAUUGAUUUCUAGAAUUGAGCAGAACAGACCACGGAGAAGUCUUUGUGACCUGUUUUAGAGACUUGAGAGUUAUAUGUCUGCUUCCUUCUCAACUGGAAGCUAUGAAAGUCAGCAAGGUCGGAAAUCAGAACGCAGAAGAGCUUCCUCUAGUUUUUGGGUUUUCAGAGCAGGGCUGAAAGAUGGGCCAGCAGACGCAGAUGAUCAUUCAGUGAAAUGUUGGACUCCCAGUGUUGCUGUGGAGAGCUCUGUGGACGCCCAGUAUGUCACGAAGAGGAACAAGAAGACUGAGAUGAUGCAAUGUGAGAUUCUCUUCUGGAUAUCCAAAGGUCAAACUAUAAAAAAUGAGGUGUUCGCUGAACUUGAAAAAUGAAGGCAACAGUUGGCAAG
ensembl:lncRNA